UGAAGUAAGUAUAAUGAAAAGUGAACAGUAGUGAUGAGCGAACAAAAAAGGUUCUCACUUCUCAAUCCAACACCACCCUCCAGCCCUCCCUCUAUCUGUUUCUGGUGAUAUGAUAUCUGAUAAGUCCCCUCCCUCCAUUGCCUUCCGACUUCCGUUGACCUUCAGUUUUUUUCUGUUCCAUGCGACAUUAAACUGAUAAGGACGGUGCUUCAUGAUUGAUAACGACAACGUGGCUACUGUAGGGCUACUGCAUGAAGUCUGAAAGAAAUUUCGAUAAUUCAAGUGAUUUGUGAGCAAUGAGAGUGUAAUGUGUAUCUAUAGUGUUUCGUGAUACGAAAUUUGAAAAUAUCUACUAUCUACCACCUCUAAGAUAAUUACCUAUGUCGAACUAAUAAGUAUAUCUACGUCGGCUUCGUCACUGUUUUUGGAACCAAAUUCCUGCGAUCUUGCCUGAUUGAAUCAUUUCCGAACUGUAUUCCAAGUCAAACUAUCGUUGUAGAUACUUCGACUAUGAUGACGAAAAGAACAUCUGUAUGAGAUCAUGGUUUUAGAAGUAAAAGCACUGGAAAAGUUCCGCUUGAUAAAUGAUGCCCGCCGAACCAAACCACCAAAGCUGAGACGGCUCGUAUUCAAUGUUCCGAAAUGGAAAUAUAACACGUGCCAACAUGAUUGAAUUUUUUACCAGCAUUCGAGUUCGGAGUUCCUAUUCUGCGAUGUGUAUUAGAAUUGGAUUAAUUGAUACGUAUCUGGAAUUUGUGUGGAGUCGAGCUGACAAUACAAGUGAUUGGUGGCUUUCACUAUGGAAAUAGAAGAAGAAAUUACCUAUGCAUUUUUCCGUGAUCCGAACUUAUAAUCUGCUCUCUUGGCCACGAUUUCUUGAGAAAAACUUGAUUAAAAAUAAAAUCAGAGAGUUACG